rnacentral:rRNA from 1 species
UACGGAGGGUGCAAGCGUUAUCCGGAUUUACUGGGUUUAAAGGGUGCGCAGGCGGAUAUGUAAGUCAGUGGUGAAAUCUCUAGGCUUAACCUGGAAAUUGCCGUUGAUACUAUAUAUCUUGAAUGCUGUGGAGGUAAGCGGAAUAUGUCAUGUAGCGGUGAAAUGCUUAGAUAUGACAUAGAACACCUAUUGCGAAGGCAGCUCACUACACGGUCAUUGACACUGAGGCACGAAAGCGUGGGGAUCAAACAGG